GGGAGCUGCGCGGCGCCGGGGCUUCCCCAGCGGAGCUCACCGCACGCCGGCGGCGGGGCCGGGGCUGCCCAGUCGGGCAAGGCCGCGGCGUGCGGCCUCCUCCGCCCUACGGGGCACGCUGGGCGAGGAGCUGCCCCCGGCCCGCAGCGGGAAGGGAGAAACAGUACGGCUUCAAGAAAAGCUUCCCAGUUCCAGAUUCGAGUAAUGAAACAGAGGAAAGAGACCCGAGCUGAACUAUGUAUAGCACAGCAACAAGUGCUUUGUUUAGGUGUUCCUAACCGCUUACAGUAGAAUGAAGAGAUCACAAUACUUAGCACGUGAAUUGGCAUUUAACACUAUGAAGUAUUUUUCCACUGG
rnacentral:lncRNA from 1 species